rnacentral:rRNA from 1 species
GACAGAGGGUGCAAACGUUGCUCGGAUUUACUGGGCGUAAAGCGCGUGUAGGCGGGCGACUAAGUCGGAUGUGAAAUCCCUGGGCUCAACCUAGGAACUGCAUUCGAAACUGGUCACCUAGAGUGAUGGAGAGGAAAGCGGAAUUCCCGGUGAUAGAGGUGAAAUUCGUAGAUAUCGGGAGGAACACCAGUGGCGAAAGCGGCUUCCUGGUCCCAGCACCGACGUCAGGCACGAAAGCGUGGGGAGCAAA